UUCCUCUCGUCUCACCGGCUCUCUCUUCCUCUCUGUUCUGCUCCGCACACCACCAACAUCUCUGUCGUGCUCUGUUCUCCCUCGCCGAUUCAUUCCGGUGAGGUGAGUUGUUUGUGUUGCGGAUUUGCUCCGCCACCUUCCUUACUCUGCCUCCCUCUUGUUCUUCGCGUCGUUGUCGCUGUCGCCACCGACGGUGGCGUUUCGGGAUCUCCGUGCUGGCUACAGUUCUUGAUUGCCACCACCGCGGGACCCAUGGCUGGCAGUUAACCGGCGACGUGAGGUCGCUGCGGCAAGUGGUUAUUGUUGAUUGAUGUUGUUGCCAGGUGUUGUUACUGUUCCUCUGCCUCACUCCUUCCUCCCUAAGAUCUUGGGUUAUUUGAUGAAGAACGAAUAAGGGGAAUCGAAUCAUGGAAUUAAGCGGAGAAUGAUGAUUGAAUAAGUCUUGAGAUUCAUGUGUAGCGAUUCGAGAGUUAAAAUGUUUUGCAGGCAGCGAGAAUCAAGUCUCAGUUCAGGUUCAAGGUGCGUAGAAGUCCUCCAGAGGCCUUAUAUGUUUCAAGGAGGGCAUGUGGAUUCUCCAAGUGUAUUUAAGUCCUUCCUAAUUUAUUAAUGGAUUGUAUAAUUUGUUUCUAGAGUUUUUUUUCUUUGGGUUAUUAUUUAUGGAUUAUAUAUCCUUGUUGAGUUGGUGUCACUCCAAUGAUGUUUUUGGGAGAUGUUAUAUGCUGGAAUGAUGAAAUAGCAGGUGAAAGAAAAUCUGACGUAAUUUCCUAAACAGUAUUUUAGGUCGUCCAUAUUUAGGGGAAGUACUGCCGAAAUUUUUAAUAACUAAUUAAGUUUAAGGGUCUUGAUUAGUGUCUUUGAGAUAGGCUAAACCGUGAUUAAAUCCUUGAAGUUGUUUGAAGGGUUAAAGUUUGUUUAGCAGGGUUUAAAGUUGUAAUUAUAUUGAGUUUGUUUAA